GGCCUUUUGAUUAUUAUUUAAGGUCAGGCCUGCUCAAUGAUUAAUUAAAUAGCCGCAGUAUUUUGACUGUGCUAAGGUAGCAUAAUCAUUAGUUUCUUAAUUAGAAGCUGGAAUGAAAGGUUUUAUGAAAAAAUGACUGUCUCUUUUGUAUAAAUAAAAUUUUAUUUUUAAGUUAAAAAGCUUAAAUUUUAUUAAAAGACGAGAAGACCCUAUAGAGUUUUAUAAUUUUUAAUUGUUUAUUUAAAAAGAUUAAAAAUGAAUUUAAUAGUUAAAAUUUAUUUAGUUGGGGUGAUUAAAAAAUUUAUGUAACUUUUUUAUUUAUAGACAAAAAUUAUUGGUUGGUUUGAUCCGAAUAUUUUCGAUUAAAAGAGUAAAUUACCUUAGGGAUAACAGCGUAAUUUUUUUUGAGAGUUCAAAUCGAUAAAAAGGAUUGCGACCUCGAUGUUGGAUUAAAAUAAACUUUUAAGGCGCAAAAGUCUAAUAGUUGGGUCUGUUCGACCUAUAAAAUUUUACA
rnacentral:rRNA from 1 species